GAGAAUUUGCCUUUAGGAGGGGGACAACAACUGGAAACGGUUGCUAAUACCCCAUAUGCUUUCGAGUGAAAUGGAAUUUUCCGCCUAGAGAGAAGCUUGCGGCUGAUUAGCUUGUUGGUGAGGUAAUGGCUUACCAAGGCGACGAUCAGUAUCUGGUUUGAGAGGAUGAUCAGACACACUGGAACUGAGACACGGUCCAGACUCCUACGGGAGGCAGCAGUGGGGAAUUUUCCGCAAUGGGCGAAAGCCUGACGGAGCAAUCUCGCGUGAGGGAUGACGGCCUAUGGGUUGUAAACCUCUUUUUUCAGGGAGGAACAAAAUGACGUGUACCUGAAGAAUAAGCAUCGGCUAACUCCGUGCCAGCAGCCGCGGUAAGACGGAGGAUGCAAGUGUUAUCCGGAAUCACUGGGCGUAAAGCGUCUGUAGGUGGUUUAGUAAGUCAACUGUUAAAUCUUGAAGCUCAACUUCAAAACCGCAGUCGAAACUAUUAGACUAGAGUAUAGUAGGGGUAAAGGGAAUUUCCAGUGGAGCGGUGAAAUGCGUAGAGAUUGGAAAGAACACCGAUGGCGAAGGCACUUUACUGGGCUAUUACUGACACUCAGAGACGAAAGCUAGGGUAGCAAAUGGGAU
rnacentral:rRNA from 1 species